rnacentral:rRNA from 1 species
AACAGGAUUAGAUACCCUGGUAGUCCACGCCGUAAACGAUGUCGACUUGGAGGUUGUUCCCUUGAGGAGUGGCUUCCGGAGCUAACGCGUUAAGUCGACCGCCUGGGGAGUACGGCCGCAAGGUUAAAACUCAAAUGAAUUGACGGGGGCCCGCACAAGCGGUGGAGCAUGUGGUUUAAUUCGAUGCAACGCGAAGAACCUUACCUACUCUUGACAUCCACGGAAUUCGGCAGAGAUGCCUUAGUGCCUUCGGGAACCGUGAGACAGGUGCUGCAUGGCUGUCGUCAGCUCGUGUUGUGAAAUGUUGGGUUAAGUCCCGCAACGAGCGCAACCCUUAUCCUUUGUUGCCAGCGAUUCAGUCGGGAACUCAAAGGAGACUGCCGGUGAUAAACCGGAGGAAGGUGGGGAUGACGUCAAGUCAUCAUGGCCCUUACGAGUAGGGCUACACACGUGCUACAAUGGCGCAUACAAAGAGAAGCGACCUCGCGAGAGCAAGCGGACCUCAUAAAGUGCGUCGUAGUCCGGAUCGGAGUCUGCAACUCGACUCCGUGAAGUCGGAAUCGCUAGUAAUCGUGGAUCAGAAUGCCACGGUGAAUACGUUCCCGGGCCUUGUACACACCGCCCGUCACACCAUGGGAGUGGGUUGCAAAAGAAGUAGGUAGCUUAACCUUCGGGAGGGCGCUUACCACUUUGUGAUUCAUGACUGGGGUGAAGUCGUAACAAGGUAACC